rnacentral:rRNA from 1 species
AUACGUCGGUGACAAGCGUUAUCCGGAUUUACUGGGCGUAAAGGGAGCGUAGACGGCGAAGCAAGUCUGAAGUGAAAGGACGGGGCCCAACCCCGGCACUGCUUUGGAAACUGUUUGGCUGGAGUGCGGGAGGGGUAAGCGGAAUUCCUAGUGUAGCGGUGAAAUGCGUAGAUAUUAGGAGGAACACCGGUGGCGAAGGCGGCUUACUGGACCGUAACUGACGUUGAGGCUCGAAGGCGUGGGGAGCAAACAGGAUUAGAUACCCCGGUAGUCCACGCGGUAAACGAUGAUCACUAGGUGUCCGUGGGUAUGACCCAUGGGUGCCGCAGCCAACGCAAUAAGUGAUCCACCUGGGGAGUACGUUCGCAAGAAUGAAACUCAAAGGAAUUGACGGGG